AUUGAACGCUGGCGGCAGGCUUAACACAUGCAAGUCGAGCGGGGAAGGGUAGCUUGCUACAUGACCUAGCGGCGGACGGGUGAGUAAUGCUUAGGAAUCUGCCUAUUAGUGGGGGACAACAUUCCGAAAGGAAUGCUAAUACCGCAUACGCCCUACGGGGGAAAGCAGGGGAUCUUCGGACCUUGCGCUAAUAGAUGAGCCUAGGUCAGAUUAGCUAGUUGGUGGGGUAAAGGCCUACCAAGGCGACGAUCUGUAGCGGGUCUGAGAGGAUGAUCCGCCACACUGGGACUGAGACACGGCCCAGACUCCUACGGGAGGCAGCAGUGGGGAAUAUUGGACAAUGGGCGCAAGCCUGAUCCAGCCAUGCCGCGUGUGUGAAGAAGGCCUUUUGGUUGCAAAGCACUUUAAGCGAGGAGGAGGCUACUUGGAUUAAUACUCUAGGAUAGUGGACGUUACUCGCAGAAUAAGCACCGGCUAACUCUGUGCCAGCAGCCGCGGUAAUACAGAGGGUGCGAGCGUUAAUCGGAUUUACUGGGCGUAAAGCGUGCGUAGGCGGCUUUUUAAGUCGGAUGUGAAAUCCCUGAGCUUAACUUAGGAAUUGCAUUCGAUACUGGGAAGCUAGAGUAUGGGAGAGGAUGGUAGAAUUCCAGGUGUAGCGGUGAAAUGCGUAGAGAUCUGGAGGAAUACCGAUGGCGAAGGCAGCCAUCUGGCCUAAUACUGACGCUGAGGUACGAAAGCAUGGGGAGCAAACAGG
rnacentral:rRNA from 1 species